rnacentral:RNase_P_RNA from 1 species
CAGAGCGGCCCAGGCGGUCGCUUGCAGCUCAUUGAAAAACAAGCUGCAAGAGGAAAGUCCGAGCUCCACAGGGCAGGAUGCCAGCGAAAGGCUGGUGGGGGUGACCCCAAGGAAAGUGCCACAGAAAACAUACCGCCUCCACCGCUCAAAAAGCGCUGGGGGCAAGGGUGAAAAGGCGAGGUAAGAGCUCACCGGGCUUGUGGUAACACAAGCCGCAUGGCAAACCCCAUCCGGAGCAAGACCAAAUAGGGAGGCGCUUGAGGGUGGCCCGCCCGAUGCCUCCGGGUGAGUCGCUUGAGGCCUGUGGUGACACAGGUCCCAGAGGAAUGACCGCCACCUGUGCGUGGUGACGCGCCCAGGAACAGAACUCGGCUUAUGGGCCCUCUGGCCU